rnacentral:rRNA from 1 species
UACGUAGGGUGCGAGCGUUGUCCGGAAUCAUUGGGCGUAAAGAGCGUGUAGGCGGUCCGGUAAGUCGGCUGUGAAAGUCCAGGGCUCAACCCUGGGAUGCCGGUCGAUACUGGCGGACUAGAGUUCGGAAGAGGCGAGUGGAAUUCCCGGUGUAGCGGUGAAAUGCGCAGAUAUCAGGAAGAACACCCGUGGCGAAGGCGGCUCUCUGGGACGGUACUGACGCUGAGACGCGAAAGCGUGGGGAGCGAACAGG